rnacentral:snoRNA from 1 species
CUAUCAUGAUGAGAAACCUUACAUCAUUCAGUUCUGCUUCUGAACCACUGUGAUGACUCCCAAUAUACCAAACCAAGAUCUCUGAAAA